AUCCAUUCUUUUUGGAGCCAGAUUUCUAACCAGCACCAUGGGAGGCAAUCCUAACCCUGCAGGAGAAGGACGUUCCUACUUCAAGCUUCCCCCUUGAGCUGGGACAACAUACAUUGGGAUGGAGGGAGUAGGACUGGCAAUGCUGCCUCUCAUCCCCACUGGGCAGUUCAGUGGGGACGAAGUCUUGGCUCAGGACACCAGUGCUGAUCAGGCUCACAAGAUGCAUCAAGGCUGAGGAGUCAGCUCUGAAUAAUUCCUCUUUGGACCAGGAACUACGUGAAAUCAGCAGUGUAAGCCUAAUUCUUGCCCUGUCCUGGAUUCUACACAGUUAUGUGUACUUGGUAAGGGGUCAACCUGGCCCCAGGGAGCCUCAGAGCCUCAACGCACUGUGAGGAUAAGAGGCUGCCACAGGUUAAACCAUGGGAGUUAAGGCACUUGGCAUGACUUGCAUACACAAUGAUGGACAGAUGGACGAAGCUGGGAUUCUGAUACUGCUGUGAGUUGAUGUUCUCUGAACUUUAUAUCGGUGGGAACCGAGUAGCUCUGAAUGUUUUGUAAAUUGACCCUCUGGUUUGGAAAAGCCAAAGGCAAAUUUAAUGUGAGGUUAAGCAGAGAGGUCAAAAUGAUCUGGCUAUAACGUGAAAGGGUGAAAAACAGCCUUGGCUUCUCAAGGUUUGUUCUCAGGCUGGGAAUGAUGAGGCUGGCUUGCUUCAGAUCCCAGCUCUUUGGAUCCAUGCCAAGGAAGGCUCUUCUUUUUUAGGUUGGUGUAAGCAAGAGCAGCAUCUGACCAAGGACAAGAGGCUCAUCCACGCGAGGUCUUCAACAAUAUCAGGCAGAGCACUUAUCACUUUUCAUUAACAUACAAAAUGGAGCCAAAAAAGGCAGAGCACAGUUUGUUCCAUUUCCACUCUAAUGAGAUGCGUUUCAUUAUUUUCCAGAUCAUUCACCCUUGGUUCAAUUUAAGUUUAUUUUGAGACAGGAUAAUCAGCCUUUUAACUAGAGAAUCCCUGGUCUCCCACUGCUCACUUGCAGUCGUGCCUAAUCAGGUAGAAGGAGCAUUUCUGCUCUGUGUAAAGACAGGGCUGAAGCUGACUUUAAGCAAACCAGAGCAGGCUGCCAUGAUGUGUUCAGAGACGUAAUAAGUGCUAUACUGUGUGUCCCAGAAAGAGGCAAAGAACCCUUGGGUAUGUAAAUAUGAAAGUGAAGAAUGAACUCCAUCUAUAUCCUCAUUGCAUUUUCUACGUUUAAUUAUUUUCAAAUAAGGAGCUGCAGCACUACCAGAAGAACAAGGAGCUGCACCCAGCAGUUCCUGCAUCAGGGUUUCAGCACUUGUUAUCACCACCACGCUUUUUUUUGCUUCCUUUGUGUACCUGUACAGCACGGGGGGAAAGCACUCAAACCAGAUCCAGGGAAAGAAUAUGAAAUGGAACAUGAAUACUGGAAUUAGUAAUUUGUCCAAGACUGGAACAUUAAAAAAAAAAAUUUCUCUUAAGAAAUCACCUUAAAGAUGGGUAAAGAAUAGACUCUAUUUCACUGUACUUUACCAGAGAACAUUUUGUGCCACGAACACAGGAGCUCUCCAGGUAGCUGAAGAAGCUUUUGAUUUUGAUCUUUGUUUCCCAGUCCUUAUGAAGUGAUAGAAAUGGAGAUGAGACAGAGAUGAUAGUUGUUGGCAUUCUGCGCUGGUGCCUGAGAAGGGGAAAAAGCAAAUUUUUUGCAUGUUUAACUCUGCUCACUUCACUAGGGAUGCUGCUGGCCUCGUAAGGCUAUUGUCUUGGUACAACAUGUUUUUGUACUUUUAUGAAUGGACUAUUUAUGUAGAUUCUAUGGAAGAUGUUCAUCUGCUGAAAAACAAUGGAGAGAGAUGAGGAUCUCUUCCACAGGGUUACAGAUGUGAAACUGGAGGGUCCCAUGAGUACUUCAGAGAUAAAGUCCAUUGUCCUUAGAUUCAAAUAGAAGGAAUGUUCAAGUUUUAAACAACAACAAAGCACAACUCCACUGUUUGUUGUCUUGAAUAAACUUCUGUGUUUUCUUUCUG